rnacentral:rRNA from 1 species
CCUAGGGUGGCUGCAGUGGGGAAUAUUGCGCAAUGGGGGAAACCCUGACGCAGCAACGCCGCGUGAAGGAAGAAGGCCUUCGGGUUGUAAACUUCUUUGAUCGGGGACGAAAAUGACGGUACCCGAGGAACAAGCCACGGCUAACUACGUGCCAGCAGCCGCGGUAAUACGUAGGUGGCAAGCGUUGUCCGGAAUUGCUGGGCGUAAAGGGCGUGUAGGCGGGAUGGCAAGUCAGAUGUGAAAGCCCGGGGCUUAACUCCGGAACUGCAUCUGAAACUGCUGUUCUUGAGUGCUGGAGAGGAAAGUGGAAUUCCCAGUGUAGCGGUGAAAUGCGUAGAGAUUGGGAGGAACACCAGUGGCGAAGGCGGCUUUCUGGACAGUAACUGACGCUGAGGCGCGAAAGCGUGGGGAGCAAACAGGAUUAGAUACCCCGGUAGUC